UACGGAGGAGGCAAGCGUUAUCCGGAAUUAUUGGGCGUAAAGCGUCCGCAGGUGGCUCCUCAAGUCUGCUGUCAAAGACCGGGGCUUAACCCCAGAAAGGCAGUGGAAACUGAAGCGCUAGAGUGCAGUAGGGGUAGAGGGAAUUCCCGGUGUAGCGGUGAAAUGCGUAGAGAUCGGGAAGAACAUCGGUGGCGAAAGCGCUCUGCUGGACUGCAACUGACACUCAGGGACGAAAGCUAGGGGAGCGAAUGGG
rnacentral:rRNA from 1 species